UAUGCUUAAGAUAUUUCUUGUUACGUUAAAACAUUUGGAUCUCACGCUUUAGUUUCUCAUGUAGAUGGCAUUUGAGCUCUAUGGCAUGCUUGCUGGCAAUGUUAGUCCCAUUACCGGUGAAAAUAUUAAGCCAGCUUACGGAGGGGAGGAGGAGGCUUUCUUUCGAAAAAUUGUUACUCCUAUUGAUGAAGUGAUUGCACGGAACUUGAAGGGAAGCCGAGGGUCUAUCGGAAACAGUCUCUCUGUCCCAUCGGGGAAGCUGCUAGGAGCAGAAGAGGAAAAGCAAAGCAUUCCCAAAGGAGGAUCUAUGAUGAUUUAAACGAAUACUUUUGGUCAGUGAACUGCUUCAGGUUAGGUUGGCCCAUGCGCGCUGAUGCUGAUCUCUUUUGCCUCCCUGUGGAAGAACUUCGAGCUAAGAGAAACAGAAUCUAUUUUGUACAUAGGGUGUCCGCUACUAAUAUAUCACUAUUUUCUAAAGACAUAUAUAUGUAUGUACAUGGAAUUUUUGCCGAACUUUACAGGAACAGCAGCAAGAAUGGAACAGAGAUGGUGCAGAGCUGUACAGAGUUGCAGUAAGAGAGUUCAAGGAAGAAGCAAGCUCUAGAGACAAAUAUGAAUUUAAUCACUGCUCUAAUUAGUUGCAGUGUCCAACUGUAAUAUUUAUUAGUUUCUUCACUAGUAUUCAUUGUUACACUACUGGUGUUUGCCGUGCAGUCCCAACCCUUACACUAAAAAUCACAUUUCAGUUCAUUUUUGUAAUAAUUGCAAGAAAAUACACGUAUUUGUGCA